rnacentral:rRNA from 1 species
GCUCCAAUAGCGUAUAUUAAUGUUGUUGCAGUUAAAAAAGCUCGUAGUUGGAUUUCUGGUCGGAGUGCUCGGCCAUCUCCGCAAGGGGUUGUGCAUGGGUCAUCUUCGGUCAUCCUCAGGGGAACUUGCAGUGGUAUUCAUUUAUCGUUGUGAGGACGCCUGUCGUUUACUGUGAACAAAUUAGAAGUGUUCAAAGCAAG